UACAGAGGUCUCAAGCGUUGUUCGGAUUCAUUGGGCGUAAAGGGUGCGUAGGCGGCGCGGUAAGUCGGGUGUGAAAUCUCGGGGCUUAACUCCGAAACUGCAUUCGAUACUGCCGUGCUUGAGGACUGGAGAGGAGACUGGAAUUUACGGUGUAGCGGUGAAAUGCGUAGAUAUCAGGAGGAACACCGGUGGCGAAGGCGGUUCUCUGGGCCUUACCUGACGCUGAGGAGCGAAAGCAUGGGGAGCGAACAGG
rnacentral:rRNA from 1 species